rnacentral:rRNA from 1 species
AUUGAACGCUGGCGGCAUGCUUUACACAUGCAAGUCGAACGGUAACAGGUUAAGCUGACGAGUGGCGAACGGGUGAGUAAUGCAUCGGAACGUGCCCGAUCGUGGGGGAUAACACUUCGAAAGAAGUGCUAAUACCGCAUACGAUCUGAGGAUGAAAGCGGGGGACCGUAAGGCCUCGCGCGAUCGGAGUGGCCGAUGUCAGAUUAGGUAGUUGGUGGGGUAAAGGCUCACCAAGCCGACGAUCUGUAGCUGGUCUGAGAGGCCCAACAGCCACGCUGGGACUGAGGCACAGCCCAGACUCCGACAGGAGGCAGCCGUGGGGAAUUUUGGACAAUGGGCGCAAGCCUUAGGUAGCAAUGCCGCGUGCAGGAAGAAGGCCUUCGGGUUGUAAACUGCUUUUGUACGGAGCGAAAAGGCUCCCUCUAAUACAGGGGGCUCAUGACGGUACCGUAAGAAUAAGCACCGGCUAACUACGUGCCAGCCGCCGCAGUAA